rnacentral:rRNA from 1 species
AAUGCAUCGGAACGUGCCCAGUCGUGGGGGAUAACGCAGCGAAAGCUGCGCUAAUACCGCAUACGAUCUGUGGAUGAAAGCGGGGGACCGUAAGGCCUCGCGCGAUUGGAGCGGCCGAUGUCAGAUUAGGUAGUUGGUGGGGUAAAGGCUCACCAAGCCAACGAUCUGUAGCUGGUCUGAGAGGACGACCAGCCACACUGGGACUGAGACACGGCCCAGACUCCUACGGGAGGCAGCAGUGGGGAAUUUUGGACAAUGGGCGCAAGCCUGAUCCAGCAAUGCCGCGUGCAGGAAGAAGGCCUUCGGGUUGUAAACUGCUUUUGUACGGAACGAAAAGGCUCUGGUUAAUACCUGGGGCACAUGACGGUACCGUAAGAAUAAGCACCGGCUAACUACGUGCCAGCAGCCGCGGUAAUACGUAGGGUGCAAGCGUUAAUCGGAAUUACUGGGCGUAAAGCGUGCGCAGGCGGUUUUGUAAGACAGGCGUGAAAUCCCCGGGCUUAACCUGGGAAUUGCGCUUGUGACUGCAAGGCUGGAGUGCGGCAGAGGGGGAUGGAAUUCCGCGUGUAGCAGUGAAAUGCGUAGAUAUGCGGAGG